AUUGAUUCAAUGCCACGUAUGGUUUCUUACUAAGUCCAAAAUUCGUAUAUUUUACUGCAUGGCCAGAAGUAUAGAAACGAUUGAACUAAUAAUUCUUAACUUCUCCUCUAAAACCCUCAUUUCAAUAUAACAUUAAUUGUUGUCCUAUCUUGAUCAGAUCCCUGAAAUGGAUGAUCUAAGCCCUGAAAAGGCUUCGGAGACAAAUAAAUCGGUGAUGAAAGAUAUACAUGACAAAACUAAAACAAAGCAUGAAGAGCCAGAUUUUGCAAGUAACAAGCCAAUUAAUCAGACUAACAUGCCUGAACAAAGUCGAAUUCCUGAAGAAGAAAAUACUAUCAUGGAAAGCAAAACGGAGUCAAGCUUCCCAAAGGAUGCAAUUGAAAAUGCCCUGAAAUCAGACCCUGAUGAGAAAGAUGAGGAAAUGCUAAAGAAUGAGGAAUCCUCACAUAUUUUCCCAGAGUCCUCUCCCAACGUUGAUCAUAAAAUUGCUAGGGGAUUAUCUCAUCAAGAUGAAGGGAACAAGAUAUGUGAGGAUGCAGCACUAGAAACCCCAUCUGGCAAUCAAAGCCGUGAAGCAGAUGAGGAGCAAAUAGAAAUUGGGAAACCUAAAAAGCUGAACGAACUUAAACAAGAUAUUCCUAUGAAGUACUUUGAUGCUGUAAACAGUCAAGAAGAGACGAUACAUAAAGAAAAUCCUGAUAAUGUGGAAGAGAGCGAGAAGUGUGAAGUAAAGGAUGAAACUGCUUUAACACUCGAGCGAGCAUCUGCAGCGGACUCUGAAGAGCCCAGUCAUUGGCUGUUUAGCAGUUGUGAGAAGGUAUCCAAGUCUUAACCCAUACAAAAAUUUCAACAUUCUUUAUCCUUAUUUAUGAAUUGUUAAUGAAUAAACUAUUGACAAAGAAUUUUAAGUUUCUAUCCGCACAAGUUGUGCCCACCAUGCCAUACCAUGCAGACAAUAUAUCAGCAUGAUACCACCCGCAUGCCGAUGGCACAACUCAAAAUCAUUUUUUUUUCAAAAAUUAACAAGUAGCUACAUUAAUCAAAUACCAAAGAAUAUAGUUGUGCCAAAAGAAAAUAUAUGUUUUCAUAGUUGGAUAAAUUGAGUAGAAAAAGUAUAUGAAGCAGAAAGAUGAAAAAGUCUUUGAGUGUAGCAAUGCCACUCUCCUUAAAGCUAAAUCGUCCCCACCAUUCUCGUAAUUUGGUGUGCACUGGGUUAACAAAUAGCUUCUCAGGAUACAAUGAAAUAUAAACCUCAACUUCGUUUGCACACGUGAAGUCGAGCCUUUGAGCACUCACUCGAUUAAAUUGUCAAAAAGAAAAUAGAAUAAGAAACAAGAAAUUAUUAUAGAUAGAGACUUAAACUUUCCAACUGUCCUUCAGCAGUCAACGUUAUGGACUUAUAUGGACCACGAACAGGUGCUUUAUGAAGUGACAAUUCAUGAACGGGUGCUUCAUGAAGUGACUUUUCCUUUGAUCAUAACUAUCAAUUAGUUAUAUGAGUCAAGUUCAAUGAAUGUAAGAAUUAAUUUCAACGGACAUCCAUGAAAGGACACACUAAAAAGUUGUCUUUCUAUGUCUUAUCCUUUCAAUAAAAAUCACAUCCUUUCAUAUUCAUUCACCAAGAGUUACGACCUUUGAUUAGAGUCACAUCUACUCACUAAGAGUCGCAUUUGUACUAAGGGUUGCAUCCAUUCACUAAAACUCAAAGGACAAAAUAAAUAUAUAUUUUAAAAAUUUCCUUACAUUCAUGCCACAAUGUAUUGGCACAUAGAUAUCGUGCCAACAGCAUAGAUUGACACGGCAUAGCACGAUGGUGUGCCAUGCCACACCGUUGCUUAGCAUGAACCUGCAACUGACUAAGUGCAAAAUGUAGAUCAGAAGAUGAAAGAUGGGCAACCAAAAAAAAAAAGAGAAAGUAAGAUUUGUAGUUUCUGCAAGGGGCAUUUUAGCCAACUAAUCUCAUCCAAACUUUAUAUUCUAAAAAUAGGCCUACGAAAAUCGUAUUUACGGAAAUAGGCACGAAACUGCCACGUAAGCAGUGAGAUAGCGGAGGAAGAUAGAAGCCGUGAACCAAGUACCACUUUCAAGUGAAGACGGUAAAUGAUUCACCGCUUUCAUAAAAUUUUAAAAAUCCUAUGAAGGCGGUGAAUGGUUCACCGCCUUCAUGCAAUUCCCCGCGCAGAAUAUAAUAGUUAUGAACGCGGUGAAUGGUUCACUGCAUAUUAAGGCGGUGAAUCAUUUACCGCUUUUAUAUGCAGUGAUCCAUUCACCGCAUUUAUGAUAACCCCCACCCAGCCAAUUAGUUUGCAGAUUCCCACAUUAUACAAAAUAGCAAUAUUUUCAAGCAUUUCAAUUACAAGAAUAAAUACACAAAAUCAUCUAUAUCAACUUCAACCACACUUUAAGCAUAUAAAAUGAGCCAUACCAAUAUCAAGAUACUUCAAUAUGAAUAAAUUUAGAUAAUACCAUAAAAAAUCAAUGUAGAAAAAAUCAGAAAUAUCAAAUAUACAUGAGAAUCCCAAAAAUGAUAAACAAAAUCAAGUCCCCUCCAUCCCCCUCACAUGCUCUCGCCCUCGUCCCCUGCCACGUCCACGUCUGCGUCCACAACCGCGUCCUCGACUUCGUCCUCGAAUAUGCAUAUCAUGCUCCAUCCCAGGCUGCACGGGCUCAAUGACAUGCAUCUGAUCAAUAUGCUCAAUGGCGAUGCCCUCGACAAUCGGCUCCACCCCUUGCUCAUCAGCCGAUGGUACUGCGUCUCAAUAUGACCCUAUCAUCGUCGCCUACAUCAAUAUACAACAUCAUCGCAAUGAACCUAUGACGUGGAUGAAACGUCAGGAGGGAUAGGCAUGAAUGGAAUAUCAAAAUAGGAUACCUCUGACGUAGAUGGAAUAUCAAAUGGAGGGAUGGAUGCCGACGAAAUAUCAAACUCCACUUCUGAUGUCGAAGGGAUAUCAGAUGUCGAAGGGACAUCAGAUGGAUGAAUCGGGACAGAUGUCGAUAGAAAAUCAUAUGUAGGCAUGGAGGUGGAGGGAAUAUCACCAAAAUCAUAUACAGGCAUGGAGGUGGAGGGAAAAUCACUGUAAUCAGCAAAAGCCGGAGAAGGAAUAUCCGGAUGCCCUGUCACGGGAAAAGGGCCACCAACAACUACAUUCGAAAAUUCGUACUCCCUACAAUUGAUAGAAGAAGGCAAUCUAAAAUAAUUAUACAAUUGUUAUAUUAAAAUAAUUAUACAAAAGUCAUAUUUUGCAAUACUAACCUGGGUGCAUUUGCUCCUCCUCCAAUAUCAGCACGAAAAUGUUCUCUUUCGGGGCCAGGGAAUAAUACAUCCACAUUAAAGUCACUAUUUAACAUUCUAGAAUAAUACCCCUGAGAUAAAACCAUCUGUUUUUCAACGAAGAUUAUCAAACACGGAGGGUUCCCCGACAAUGCCAUCGCACCACACAAUGAGUCAUCAUCCGUAACUUCAACAACAUCGAACUGAUUCAUCCCAGUCGAAUAUCGGACUUUGAUAAUUAGACGAUACUCAUCUCUUGGGGUAUCGGUCAAUCUAUAUAUUUUUCUCUCGAAUUCUGUAAAUGUAAUAUCCACUGGGAUACACACUUAAUUUCUUACGACCGCCAACGUACUGUGGAUUGCUAUCUUGAGUGAAUAGUUCUCCAUUCCAAUGAACAAUAAUAGCCACAUUACUACGCGCCAUCCUAAUUUUUACAAAAUAUAAUAUUUAUAAACUAACAUAAUCGUAGCAAUAUUUGACCAAUUUAUAAUAUCAAUUUGCAAAUGACAUGUGUUCACUACAUCAGAAAAUAAUAAAUUUAUAAUAUUGUAAUAAUUUUAAAAAAAAAUUAUUAAUUUUUAGUAUAAAUUUAUCAAUUUUCAGUAUAUAUGUAUUUACUACACUCAUUUUUCAAAUUUCAUCAUACGAUGAUGCAAAUGUAAGGAAAUUUUUAAAAUAAUAUAUUUUGUUUAUUAAUUUUUAGUGAAUGGAUGCAACCCUUAGUGAGUGGAUGCAACUCUAAUCAAAGGGUGUAACUCUCAGAGUUAAAGGAUGUGACUUUUAGUGAAAGGAUAUGACAUGAAAAGACACAUCUUUAUCGUGUGUCUCUUCGAGUAUAUGUCCGUUGGAAUUAAUUCUUACAUUUAUUGAACUUGACUCAUAUAACUAAUUGGUAGUUAUGGUCAAAUGAAAAGUCACAAUUGAAAGAUCACUUCACGAAAUACCCGUUCAUGAAUAGUCACUUCAUGAAGCACCCGUUCGUGGUCUAUAUAAGUCCACAGCGUUGGUUGCAGAAACGAAAGUAGAAAAAAAAAGGAACAGUUGAAGAGUUUUAAGUCUCCAUUCAUAAUAAUUCCAUUCUUGUUUUCUUAUUCUUUUUGACAACUUAAUCGAGUAAGUGCUCAAAGGCUCGACUUCGUGUGUGCAAACGCAGUUGAGGUUUAUGCUUCAUUGUAUCUUGGGAGGCUGUUCGUUGACCCGGUGCACACCAAAUUGUUAGAACAGUAGUGACGGAUUAAGCCUUAAGGAAAGUGGCAUUGCUACACGCCUUGAAGCCUUUUUUCAUCUUUCUGUUUCAUACCUUUUUCACUAUCUGCUCUUAAAUCCGAAAAUGUCGACUGCUACUCAACGAGAGAUGACAACAAACUUUAUAAGACUAGAAAGAUUUGAUGGCAUGGACUUCAGGCGCUGGCAGAAGAAAUUAUUUUUCCUUCUGUCGACUCUCAAAGUUGCUUAUAUCCUCACUACUCCAAGACCAGAAGAAAACGAUGAUGAACCUAUUGCACAAACUUGUACAAGACAAAAAUGGGAUGAAGAUGACAAUAUAUGCCGAGGCAACAUUGUAAAUGCUAUGUCGGAUGCGCUUUUUGACGUCUAUCAAAAUAUGAAAAUGGCUAAAGAACUGUGGGAAGGUCUUGAAGAAAAAUACAAAUCCGUGGAUGCCACAAGUAAGAAGUUUCUUGUUAGCAAAUUUAAUAACUAUAAAAUGGUUGAUAGUAGAUAUGUUCUUGAUCAAUUACAUGAAAUUCAACAUAUUCUCAAUCAACUUACUCAACAUAAUAUGAAUAUGGAUGAAUCUAUAAUUGUGGCCUCUAUUAUCGAUAAACUUCCUCCAUCAUGGAAAGACUUUAAGAAAAGUCUUAAGCAUAAAAAGGAAGAGAUUACUCUUAAAGAUUUGGCUAACCAUCUUCGCAUAGAAGAAUAUCGUUUGCAUGAUGGCAAAAAGGAGCAAGAUGCUCGGAGUGUCAAAGUGUAUGUGACGGAAGAUGAGUAUAAUAAAACCCGUCAACCCAUAAAAGAAAAUCGAAAGAGAGCCAAACAUCCGAUCAACCACAACAUGACAAAUAAGAAAAAGAAAGAUGCAUGCUUUCAUUGUGGUAAACCGGGUCACUACAAGAAAGAAUGUCGGUUCCUCGAAAGGGAAAGUGCACCGGAUUCCAAAAGGAAUUUUGUGGCUAUGAUAUCCGAGGCUAACAUACUCGAAGAUGACGGAGUUUGGUGGAUUGAUUCAGGUUCCACAAGACGUGUGCAAGGAUAGAAGUUUAUUUAGAACUUAUGAUGCAUUGGAGGAUGGAAAUGUUCUCUAUGUGGGCAAUUCUUCAACAGCACAAAUCAAAGUAAAGAACACUCCAAUGAGAAAACUGAUGUUGUAAUUGAAACCCCAAAACUUAGAAGAAGUAAAAGAGUUAGAAUUGCUAAAACAUUUGGACCGGAUUUUUAUACUUUUCUUGUUGAGGGUAGUAGAGAAAUGAUUACAGAAAGUUUUCAAUUUUGUUUAAACAUUGACUCAGACCCCUAAACAUUGACUCAGACCCCACAACAUUUGAGGAGGCAAUGAAAUCUCCUGAUGUCACUUUUUGGAAAGAAGCGAUAAAUGAUGAAAUGGACUCAAUUAUGGCCAACCAAACAUGAAAAUUAGUUGAUCUUCCUCAUGGAUGUAAACCUAUUGGGUGUAAAUGGAUUUUCAAAAAAAAAUCAACGUAAAUGGCACCAUAGAUAAAUUCAAGGCAAGACUUGCUGCCAAAGGGUUUACACAAAAAGAAGGCAUUGAUUAUUUUGAUACCUAUGCACCUGUUGCCAGAUUAGCGACCAUUAGAACUUUGAUUGCUCUUGCUUCUAUGUAUAAUUUGAUUAUUCAUCAAAUUGAUGUCAAAGCUGCAUUCUUAAAUGGAGAAUUAGAUGAAAAGUUUAUAUGGAACAGCCCGAGGGCUUUGUUGUUCUUGGACAAGAGCAUAAAGUGUGUAAACUUGUCAUGUCAUUGUAUGGGCUUAAACAAGCACCUAAACAAUGGCAUCAAAAAUUUGAUCAGAUUGUUCUUUCCAAUAGUUAUAAAAUUAAUCAAUCUGAUAAAUGUAUUUAUAGUAAAUUUUCAAAUGGUAAAGGUGUUAUUAUAUGUCUAUAUGUUGAUGACAUGUUAAUUUUUGGCAUCGAUGUUCAGCAAGUAGAAAAUACUAAAAGUUUUUAAUCUUGCAAUUUUGAUAUGAAAGAUAUGGGGGAGGUUGAUAUUAUUUUGGGAAUUAAAAUUAUUCGUGAAAAUAAUGGUUUAUUUUUAACGCAGUCUUAUUAUAUCGAAAAGAUUCUUAGGAAAAAAUUAGUUAUUUUGACUGUACUCCAGUAUCUACUCCUUUUGAUCCUAAUCUAAAAUUAGUUCGCAAUACUGGUAGAUCAAUUAAUCAGUUAGAAUAUUCUAAGAUUAUUGGAAGUUUGAUGUAUGCCAUGUCUUGUACUAGGCCUGAUAUUGCAUUUGCUGUUGGUAAAUUAAGUAGAUUUAUUAGCAAUCCAGGUAAUGUACAUUGGCAUCCUAUUUACAGACUUUUGAAAUAUUUGAAAAAGACUAUGGAAUUUUCUAUAGUGGAUAUCCAACAGUAUUGGAAGGCUAUACAGAUGCCAGUUGGAUAACAAAUCAAGAAGAUCAUGCAUCCACAAGUGGGUAGAUAUUUAUAUUAGGUGGAGGUGCGAUUUCUUGGGGUUCUAAGAAACAAACAUGUAUAGCGGACUCUACCAUGGCAGCAGAAUUUAUAGCACUAGCGUCUGCUAGUAAGGAGGCGAAAUGGAUAAGGAAUUUAUUAUAUGAAAUUCUAGUUUGGCCAAAACCAAUGCCGCCGGUAUCGCUACAUUGCGAUCGUGAGGCUACGCUUUCGAGAGCAUAUAAUCAAACAUACAAUGGGAAGUCAAGACAUAUUGGAUUAAGACAUAGCUAUGUAAAACAACUGAUAUCAGAUGGCAUAAUUACCAUUGAUUUUGUAAGAUCAAACCAAAAUCUUGCGGAUCCGUUGACUAAGGGACUUCCAAGAGAAUUGAUAUUCAAGACAUCAAUGGGGAUGGAUCUCAAGCCCAUAUUACAAAGUCACCAAUGAUAGAAACUCGACUUAACACUUGAAACAUCAUCAAGUCUUAAGUUCAAUGAGCCAAAGUACAUCAUAUGGAGUGAUUGCAAGCACUAUAAUAUAAAAUUUCCAUCCCAAGUGCUUGGUAUCCGUAUUGAAAAGGGAAAGUUGAACUAAUAAAGUUCUUAAUAGACCUACAGUAGUAUUUACUGAAGUGUUAAAUACGGGACACUUCUGGUAGAGUCUACCUAUAUGAAUGUGAAGUGUGGCCGCUUCUAGGAGUUAAGGGCUUGACUCUAACAGCAUUCAUGAAACAGGAUGCGGACACAAGGCCAUAAAAGUGUCAGCAAUAAAAUAGAGCACUCGAUUGAUUAUAAAUUCCUAUGUGUGAGAUAUGUUCGGUUAGUCAAAAAAUAAUUGUUGGUUCAAAGCUUGUCUACCAUUCAAUUAUGUCUAACUUUGAUGAGUUUUCACUAAGUGUAGGUUCAAGUUUUAAUACAACUACACCUAUGCAUACGAUUUUGUCAAGUUGUCAAGAAUUUUGAUUUUUGAUUUUUGAUUUUUGAUUUUUGAUUUUGUUUUAUUUUGUAUUUUGAUGUAUUUUUAUGUAUUUUAAAAAUUGGUAGGGAAUUGUAAGGAAAUUUUUAAAAUAAUAUAUUUUUUUUAUUGAUUUUUAGUGAAUGGAUGCAACCCUUAGUGAGUGGAUGCAACUCUAAUCAAAGGAUGUGACUUUUAGUAAAAGGAUAUGACAUGAAAAGACACAUCUUUAUAGUGUGUCUCUUCGAGUAUAUGUCCGUUGGAAUUAAUUCUUACAUUCAUUGAACUUGACUCAUAUAACUAUUUGGUAGUUAUGGUCAAAUGAAAAGUCACAAUUGAAAGGUCACGUCACGAAAUACCCGUUCGUGGUCUAUAUAAGUCCACAGCGUUGGUUGCAGAAACGAAAGUAGAAAAAAAAAGAAACAGUUGAAGAGUUUAAAUCUCCAUUCAUAAUAAUUUCAUUCUUGUUUUCUUAUUCUUUUUGACAACUUAAUCAAGUGAGAGCUCAAAGGCUCGACUUCGUGUGUGCAAACGCAGUUGAAGUUUAUGCUUCAUUGUAUCCUGGGAGGCUGUUCGUUGACCCGGUGCACACCAAAUUGUUAGAACGGUAGGGAUGGAUUAAGCCUUAAGGAAAGUGGCAUUGCUACACGCCUUGAAGCCUUUUUUCAUCUUUCUAUUUCAUACCUUUUUCACUAUCUGCUCCAACAGCAAAUAGGGUUUAAAAUGUGACCUAAAGUGUGCAUGCUACCAAAUAUAGACAAAAUAUAACUGACAAAAUACAACAAGUUAUAUUGAAAGAACACAAUAAUCUACAAACAAUCAACUGUACUACAAAACCCACUACAACUUUUUUCAAAAAUCUAACCUCUAACCUAAUGAGGACAAUGUGGAUGCAAUGCUGAGGAGAGAGGGUGCGGUGGCGGCCUUGACGGUGGCAGCAGCAGCAGAGUCUUCGGUGCCGGCGACGGCGGCGUCGAAGUCGUCGGGUUCGGGCGGAGUGAGAGAGACAGAGAGGAAAUCGGGGAGAGGAGUAAGGGAGAAAGGAGAAGAGUUCGGGCGGAGUGAGGGAGACAGAGAGGAGAUCGGGGAGAGGAGUGAGGGAGAAAGGAGAAGGGUUCGGGCGGGGUCUAGGGUAUUCUAAUUAAAUGUGGUGAACUGUUCACUGCAUAUAAAAGCGGUAAACGGUUUACCGUAUUUAAAGACGAUGAAUGGUUCACCGCUUUUAAAUGCGGUGAAUAGUUAACCGUCUUUAAAAGUGGUAAACUGUUCACCACCUUUAAAGGAACGCGGUAAACCGUAUUCUUAAUUUUUCACACUAAUUCCCCACACCUGCCAGAGGCCCACAAAUGCGGUGAAUGGUUCACCGCAUAAGUAAAUGCGAUGAACCAUUCACCGCAUAUAAAGAUUUUACUCCGAGGAACUGACCUGGCCUAUUUGAGGCCUACUUUUACAAUAAAAUUUAGAGGACAAUUUUUAGAAAAAAAAUUUUAAGAUUAUUUAUAAAAAAAAUUCGUUUCUGCAACAUAGUACAUUUAUACUGUGCUAUUAAUAAGGUCACAUUUUCUAUUGAGACAUUAUUAUACUGCUGGAACGAAACAUCUAGUGAAUUAUUUAGUCUUCAAACAGAUAUCUGAUGUCACCAAUCUAGGAGAUGAUUACGAACCUAACUCUACAUGCAAAGAACUGCCUCAUGACAAUAUUAAGCGCAAUGAAAGCAAAGUGGAUGAUGAACAAAGAGGAGAAAUUUCAGAAUCCUUUGGAAUUGGAGGUUACGAAAGGAGGGACAACCUCUAAAGCCGAAAGCACCAAGGUGAAACACUAAAAAGAACGCAAAAACAUCACAAAUAUGGCCAUCUCCUUUAUCCAGUGUCCUACAUAGCAAAUUCCGAAAUUCCUCUUAUCUCCUCUUAUUUACUCGAGAACUAGUUGAUUGUUAAUAUACAUAAAAAGUUGUAUAAAACCAAAUAAAAAGGAAAAUGUAAUCUUAAUUUUUUAAGGUUAUGAUAAAUCAACUUGUAGGUAAAUAAACUACCUUAAGAAUUCACAACGACCAGCCAAACUAUGAACUUACAAUCACCCAAGAAAACCAUCAUCAAACAAAGGUGGUCUACAUACAACCUUUUGAGACAUCAGGUAGAUGUUUGCAUUAAAAAGUUUCCGAAAAGAAAAUAAGUUUUCUUAUCCGCUAUAACUUUCUCCUACUAGGCUUUUGUUAGGCUUCUCGCUAUAUUAGCAAGCAAAAUGAUAUCCUAAAUACUUUACCUUAAAUAAGGAAAAUCACAUAAAUAUGUUCCUCUCUAUAAACCAUAAAAGUAAAUUUGAAAUGUGUAAAAUUUCUAAUUUAAAAAUUUUUACAUUUCUAUUUUCCUGAUAUAAUUUGAAAUGUGUGCAGGCCACAGCCUCAGACGGAUUGAGUGAAGAGGCGGACUUUGCAAGUGAAAAGGAUGAAAACAUGUGCAAGAAAGAUGAUUGUGCUAGAGAGACCGCUCAAGAUUUUCUGGAGGAAACUACUCAUAGAGCUUGGAAGGGCGGAGAGGAAACAGAUGCAAAGAAUAUUGGAAGUGAAGACAAUGAUAGAGAUGUAAAAGGAAUCCCUGAUGUGGCACCUCAGGGAGAUUAUAAUACAAAGACACCAGAUAAUACAUACACAAAAGAAAUUAUGAUAGCAAUAGAACAAGAAGAUGAGGCAAGGACACAAGUGAGAUCAGACAAUGAGGAAACAGAAGGUGAAAAGGUAUCAACAUAUCAACUCUGCCCUUUUCAACUUUUGUAGUCUUUUUAAGCAUUUGCUAAUUACUAAACUGUUGACACGUGUAACGAAUUAGGACUGAAGAGGAAACUUGAGCAAUGAUUAUAUGAUUAUAUAGAUAUAAGCCAUAUCUGUUGUUUCCGUGAUACUGUAUUUUCUUUUGUGCUAGUUACCAUUAGCUUUAUUUUUUUAUCAAACCAUUUUAUUAACUUCUUACAAUUUCAUUUAAGCAGAUAUCUAGUGUCAAAGGUGACAGUGAACCCACAAAGGUGGAGAAUGAAUACAUAAGCAACACUGUUGGUGAUGCCUCUGAUACAGGAGAGCCAACUGGGAAGCCUGCAGACGUAGAUGAUGUGGUAGACGAUGUGCAGGAAGAAACCAUAGGAUCUACAUGUGACGAACAACAUCAGGAAAAUAUUGAGAGCAACGAAAAAAACGAGGAUGGUGAACAGAGAGAAGACAAACAUCAAACUCUUCAACAAGAGGAAUUAGUUUCUGAAGUUGAAAAUCAAGAGACAACCUCCACAACAGGCGCUAAAAAGAUGGAGAUCUCAAAAGAAGGCGAAAACCUCAUUAAUAUGGUAACCUGCUUUAUUCAAUUGCAUAGUAUGUUAAAUUCCUUGGGACCUUUCUGGAAGCUAAAAUAACUUACCCAGCAUAUCUUCUCUUACUGACUCGAGAACUAUUUAUUUCUUGAUUGUUAAGGAGAACAAAAUUAUGUCUAAACCGAAGAGCAAAAAAAGUAAGCAAACUUAUUUUUAAGGAUAUGAUAAAUCACCUUGUAGGUGAACUGGUGAAGCAUAUUAGUUUAUAUCAUCAUGGCGGAAAAUUGUCUAAAGUCAAAGUCUGUUCUCAUAAUCACUAAUUGUUACCUCCAUCCAAUACUAGUUAUCUACACAUACAUUAAGGGUUUGUAUAUUGCGCAGUUGUAGAGAUUUUUUACACUCCCUAUCAACCAUUACCACAUGCACCUUGAGCAAACAGAAAGUCAUCAGCUGAACAAGAUACUCGUGCGUCUAAGAUUCUAAAUAGGCCAUAUAGAUUUUGCAUUGAAAGACAAUACAAUAAUUCUAGCCUGUCAACUAUUUUUGAAACUUGUCUUUUAUUAAACCUCUAAUUUACCUACUGUGGGCAGAUUUCUGAAUCAGUAAAUCUGGAGGAAACUAAAAUUGAAAAUGACACGGAUGAUGAGAAGAUCAAGGAGAGCGUUGAAGAUAAUCCCCGAGAUCAUGCCUUGCUUUCACAAACAAGACAUGAUGUAGCAGACGAAGACCACACAAAAGCAGAUCAAAGUUUGGAAGGGAAGGACGGUAAUAUUGUAAGUCUUGAGAAAGAAAGUAUCAAAAGCAAGGGACCUGAUGAGGUUCACCCCAGUGAAUCAGAAGCACAUCAGCGUUUGGUGGACAAAGACAACAAUAUUGUAAGUCUUGAAAAAGAAAGCAUUGAAAGCAAAGGGCCUGAUGAGGUUCAACCCGGUGAAUCAGAAGCCACCAAGGUAGACUUUCUUUUGAAUUCUUCAAAACUUUAUGUAUUUAAUUUAACUAUUCAAUUUGCUUUCCUUAAACUCUCUGUUUUUCCAACAUGCCUCCUCAUCUCAAGUUUGACUUGUGAAAAUUUUGAUCAAGCAGGUUGCUGAAAUUGUUAGCACAACUGACGAAGCUGAAACUACGUCUGUAGAUGGAGGGGAAAGUGUUGAUGUUGACAAAGAUAAGGCAGAGUAUCAAGAGCACAAAAACGUUAUAGAGUCAGUGAUGGAGGAAUAUAAUAAAGGGGGAGCAAAUGAAACACAAAUGGCCAAGAGCCACCAGGUAAUAAUUGAUUCAAUGCCACGUAUGGUUUCGUACUAAGUCCAAAAUUCGUAUAUUUUACUGCAUGGCCAGAAGUAUAGAAACGAUUGAACUAAUAAUUCUUAGCUUCUCCUCUAAAACCCCCAUUUCUAUAUAACAUUAAUUGUUGUCCUAUCUUGAUCAGAUUCCUGAAAUGGAUGAUCUAAGCCCUGAAAAGGCUUCGGAGACAAAUGAAUCGGUGAUGAAAGAUAUGCAUGACAAAACUAAAACAAAGCAUGAAGAAGAGCCAGAUUUUGCAAGUAACAAGCCAAUUAAUCAGACUACCAUGCCUGAACAAAGUCGAAUUCCUGAAGAAGAAAAUACUAUCAUGGAAAGCAAAACAGAGUCAAGCUUCCCAAAGGAUGCAAUUGAAAAUGCCCUGAAAUCAGACCCUGAAGAGAAGGAUGAGGAAAUGCUAAAGAAUGACGAGUCCUCACAUAUUUUCCCAGAGUCCUCUCCCGACGCUGAUCAUAACAUUGCUGAGGGAUUAUGUCAUCAAGAUGAAGGGAACAAGAUAUAUGAGGAUGCAGCACCAGAAACUGCAUUCGGCAAUCAAAGCUGUGAAGCAAAUGAGGAGCA
rnacentral:lncRNA from 1 species